rfam:Daucus carota subsp. sativus cultivar DH1 chromosome 6, whole genome shotgun sequence.
UCUCAGUGAUGAUGAACACAGAUGACGAGUCCGAUUUAUCCAUUCAACCCUGACGACGAAACGAGGCAUUUGUCUGAGAGGA